AUUAGUUUCAGGUGCACAACAUAGGGGUUUGAUAUUUUUAUAGAUUGUUCUUCAUACAGUCCACCAUUCAUGCUUUAAGGCUUUCUUGUUCACUAUUCCCCCAUCCCCACUCCAGGUCUAGCACUAUGUCUAGUGUAGAUCAAUUAUCAACCAUUCAAUGCUUGGCAACUGACAUCACGAAUGGAUAUAAUUUAAAUGUUUACACACAGCCCUGAAAUAAAUACCAUAAUUUAUGAGCUGUAUGAAUAUAUAAAGUAAAAUAGCUGUUUCCACAUAAGAAUCACUUUAGCACGUCAAGCAUUGUGCUAAAGAGUAUUUUUAUGUAUAUUAUAUUAAUUUCAAAACAAAAUGAUUAACAGAAAGUAUGAUCCUCUGCAUUUUACAUAUAAGAAACAAGAGGUUCAGGUAGAUGAAAUUACUCGCCUAAGACACAGCCAAUAAGUGGGAACACUUUCUUGUCUAACUUAUACACCCUGUAACCACGGCUUUAUGUUGGCUGCUGGGUUUCAAAGGUUUUGAAAGCUUGUUCUAGUGCAAUGUACUACAAACUUAAAUUGAACACAGAAAAAAAAAAAUAAAAAAUCCCACCAAGUAAUUAGCUCUUGAAAUAUAAGAAUCAGGUUGUCCCUGCAUAUGCAGUGAAUCAACUGUUCUUAGAAGUAACCAAUGAUCCAAAUGAGCAAUGCAGUCUUUCAACACUGAGAAAGGUUUGAAGGGUUCAGCCCUUUGAAUUAUGUUGCUGUGAAAUUAACCAAGGUGAAAUAUUCAUCCAGAACUUUGGAUCCGAAUAGACAUUGACACAAUUCUAUCCCAUAUGGGUACACAUAGGUCCAAAAGAAAAUCACACAGUGUUGGAAAUAGAGAAUCUGUAUAGUAUUACUCUGCUGCGAUUGCUGCUACCAUUAUGAAUGAUAAUAAUUAUUAUUUGUUAUCAUUAUUCUAGUUCAGAUUUAUGGAGAGAUUGCUUUACACCAAGCUUCAUGAUACAUGCUUUACAGACUCACUCCCUGAGGUGGGUGAAAUUAGAACCCCCAUUUUCCACUUGAAAAAUCUGAAGUUAAAGGAGGUAAGUAGCAUGUCUAUAGCCAAAGAGCUAGUAGUAGUGGGACGAGAAACAAAGGCAGGUCUAUCUAAGGCCCAAGCUGUAAUCUUAUCCAAUACCACAUUCUGUUUCAUUGAUUUCUACACAAUUAUUAUGCCUACAGCCCUAUAAUUUUAAUUUUGUAAAAACUUUACAUAUAUCAUACCCUGAUCCUACUACCAACAGUAAGUAUACACCUACGGGGUCAUCAUUUUGCUAAUGGAAGAUGAACAAAUAUUAAAAUAUAAAGGUAUGCCCCCAAAUGUCAUGGGUUUCCUUUUCUCAAAUUAGGAAUAUCAAGGUUUUCCUUCUUUUUAAAAAGUAUUUUACAACAAAUGCUGGAGAGGGUGUGGAGAAAAGGGAACCCUCCUACACUGUUGGUAGGAAUGUAAAUUGGUACAACCACUAUGGAAAACAGUAUGGAGGUACCUCAGAAAACUAAAUAUAGAACUACCAUAUGAUCCAUCAAUCCCAAUCCUAGGCAUAUAUCCAGACAAAAUAUUCAAAUAUUCAUUCAAAAUGAUACAUGCACCCCUAUGUUCAUUGCAGCACUAUGCACAAUAGCCAAGACAUGGAAACAACCUAAAUGUCCAUCAGUGGAUGAAUGGAUUAAGAAGAGGUGGUACAUAUAUACAAUGGAAUACUAUUCAGCCAUAAAAAGGACACAAUAAUGCCAUUUGCAGUAAUAUGGAUGCAACUAGAGAUUAUCAUACUAAGUGAAGUAAGUCAGAAAGAGAAAGACAAAUACCAUAUGAUAUCACUUUAUGUGGAAUACAAAAUACAGCAAAAAUGAUCCCAUCUAUAAAACAGACAGAUCAAGGCCAUGGAGAGUAGACUUGUGGUUGCCAGGGGGAGGGGAAAGGAGUGGGAUGGACGGAGAGUUUGGGGUUGGUGAAUAUAAACUGUUACACUUGGAAUGGAUGGGCAAUGAAGUCCUACUGUACAGCACAGGUAACUGUGUAUGACUGGGUCACUUUGCUAUAUAACAGAAAUUGAAGAAACACUGUAAGUCAACUAUACUUUAAAAAUAAAGUAUAUUACAAGGAUAAGGAGCUUGCUAUGAAGAUAUGUGGUAGUGUUCACUAAUAAUGAGCUCAUCCUAGACUAACUCAGCAUCCUAGACUAACUUAGUAUUGGAUGUGUCUUUAGAGAACUUCUGGUAUGUUUUCUAGAGUUAUUCUUUUAAAUAAACUCUGAAUAAAAUAGAAUAUUUUUCUGGCAGCAUUUUGAACCUUCAGCUACUGGCUCUGGAAGAAAUCUGAAAAUACAAGGGAUUUCCAUUCAUGGAAAAUGAGAUGAAGGAUAAAGCUAAGUGACCUUUUGAGAACACUUUAAAAUUAUAUUCUGUUUAUUGAGUUCAUGUCUUGGUCCAAGGUUCAGAAUGAUAUUCAUUUUGUAUGAAUAGGUUUUUUUUUUUUUCUCAAAUCACUGCAAAGAAAAAUUUUAGUAUAUGAAAAUACUGUGCAAAAGGAAAAGAUUCAUUUGGAUGUUUAGGGACCAACGUGCAUUUAGAAACUCGAAGGCACAAUUCUCCCCUUGGAUAGCUAUAAGAAUUGGGUACAUUAUUUAAAUUCUCUGCACCCCAGUUUCCUUAUCAUAAAUAUAGUGCUGGAUCUAGCUUGUCUCACAAUUACUGUGGAAUUAGAAAUCUAUGAUUCUUUCAAUCUGCCUUAGAUUGAACAUUUACCUGUGCAUUUACACCGCAAACGAUCACAUAAGAGUUGCAGAAAGCCUCUCUAUAAAUUCCUAGGAAAUAAUUUGACAAUGUGACCAAAUUAUAAAUAGCUCCAGUUGUCUAACACAUACAAGAAGGUAAAAAGAUUUUUCAACCUGGUACAGAAGUGAUGAUUAUCUCAGCCUUUUUAGGUUUUUCUCAUUGUCCUGAAACAUAGGUAUCAAGGAAAUAGGAAGUAGAAAUUCUGCGUAUUUACUCCUGACGCCGAUAACAUCUACAUUUGACAUUCUAGAAUAACAACAUCUCCAGCAGCAACUAAGAUAUGCAUGUUUCAGAGCUGAGAAACUUUUAAAAUCCCCUUUUAAGCAAUGUGGCCACGGAAGACUCUUAAUAAUUGAUUAUAAUUGAUUUUAACCUUGUCCUAACCUGGGCAAAAUGGCAAAGCCAAUCAUCUUUGUCCAGAUGGGGUAUGAGAAAAGAGCCCCAAGUCCACGUCUUUAAAAGCUCCAGACAUGAGCAGAAGAUAAAAUAUUUAGUCUGCCAAAGCCUUGACCUCCCAAUUCCAGCCAGUUUUGAACUUGAAUUGAUUUCCGACAAGGCAUCUGGGAGAUGAUUACAACAAAAUGCACUAAAGCUGGGCAGCCUUUAUUUUAACAUCCCAGCAGCUUAACCUGUUAAUAACAGCAAUUGUUUUAGAUACAAUACCAAUUUCUGUAACCGACGCAAGAAAUGGAUAACAGCAGCCGUCGCUGUCUCCCAGGCAGUGCAAU
rnacentral:lncRNA from 1 species